rnacentral:rRNA from 1 species
UACCAGCUCUCCGAGUGGUAGGGAUGGUUAUUGGGCUUAAAGCGUCCGUAGCCGGCUUAGCAAGUUUCCUGUUAAAUUCAGCGACCUAAUCGUUGAGCCGCGGGAAAUACUACUAGGCUAGGAGGCGGGAGAGGUCGACGGUACUUCUGGGGUAGGGGUGAAAUCCUAUAAUCCCGGGAGGACCACCAGUGGCGAAGGCUGUCGACUAGAACGCGCUCGACGGUGAGGGACGAAAGCUGGGGGAGCGAACCGGAUUAGAUACCCGGGUAGUCCCAGCUGUAAACGAUGCGGGCUAGGUGUUGGGGUGGCUACGUGCCACUUCAGUGCCGCAGGGGAAGCCAUUAAGCCCGCCGCCUGGGGAGUACGGCCGCAAGGCUGAAACUUAAAGGAAUUGGCGGGGAGCACCACAAGGCGUGAAGCUUGCGGUUC